rnacentral:rRNA from 1 species
CCAGCAGCUGCGGUAAUUCCAGCUCCAAUAGCGUAUAUUAAAGUUGUUGCAGUUAAAAAGCUCGUAGUUGAACUUAUGGCGGGGGCCUAGACUGGCUUCGGUCGUCUAGGUGUCCGUCAUCCGCUUGGGAACCCCGUUCGGUCUUCAUUGGUCGGCGGGAGGAUCAGGCACUUUACUUUGAAAAAAUAAGAGUGUUCAAGGCAGGCAAUCGCCAUGAAUACAAAAGCAUGGAAUAAUGGAAUAGGACUGUGAUCCAUUUUAUUGGUUAUUGGAUUACAGUAAUGAUUAAUAGGGACAGUUGGGGGCAUUAGUAUUUAAUUGUCAGAGGUGAAAUUCUUGGAUUACUUAAAGACUAACUUAUGCGAAAGCAUUUGCCAAGGAUGUUUUCAUUAAUCAAGAACGAAAGU